UACGUAGGGGGCAAGCGUUGCUCGGAAUCACUGGGCGUAAAGGGUGCGUAGGCGGGUCUUUUAAGUCAGGGGUGAAAUCCUGGAGCUCAACUCCAGAACUGCCUUUGAUACUGAAGAUCUUGAGUUCGGGAGAGGUGAGUGGAACUGCGAGUGUAGAGGUGAAAUUCGUAGAUAUUCGCAAGAACACCAGUGGCGAAGGCGGCUCACUGGCCCGAUACUGACGCUGAGGCACGAAAGCGUGGGGAGCAAACAGGAUUAGAA
rnacentral:rRNA from 1 species